rnacentral:rRNA from 1 species
GAUGAACGCUGGCGGCGUGCCUAAUACAUGCAAGUCGAGCGAACGGACGAGAAGCUUGCUUCUCUGAUGUUAGCGGCGGACGGGUGAGUAACACGUGGAUAACCUACCUAUAAGACUGGGAUAACUUCGGGAAACCGGAGCUAAUACCGGAUAAUAUUUUGAACCGCAUGGUUCAAAAGUGAAAGACGGUCUUGCUGUCACUUAUAGAUGGAUCCGCGCUGCAUUAGCUAGUUGGUAAGGUAACGGCUUACCAAGGCAACGAUGCAUAGCCGACCUGAGAGGGUGAUCGGCCACACUGGAACUGAGACACGGUCCAGACUCCGACGGGAGGCAGCAGUAGGGAAUCUUCCGCAAGGGGCGAAAGCCUGACGGAGCAACGCCGCGUGAGUGAUGAAGGUCUUCGGAUCGUAAAACUCUGUUAUUAGGGAAGAACAUAUGUGUAAGUAACUGUGCACAUCUUGACGGUACCUAAUCAGAAAGCCACGGCUAACUACGUG